rnacentral:tRNA from 1 species
GUGGCCGUAGCUCAGUUGGUAGAGCACUGGAUUGUGGCUCCGGGAGUCGCGGGUUCAAAUCCCGUCGGUCACC